AACAGAAAAUGGGUGAAUCAUGUAUUCAUUUUAAUGUUGUACAUAUUAUUUUUGUAUAAAAUAUUAUAUAAUUAUACUAAAAUAUGCAAAGAAAUAAUAUUGCACUAUAGCUUUGAAAUAUAUUGCCGCUUGGGCAAACUGGAGGGAAGGUUGCUGAAAUCUCUCUGUGUUUCUUACAACUGCAUGCAAAUGAACCAUCAUCUCAGUUUAAUUUUGAAGAAUUGAAUGAUGGUGCCAAAAUCUAGAAAACCACUAUAUCAGUUUGAGAGUUUGUCAGUUAUGGCAUGAGCCUUAGAACCUUGACAUCACAAUGAUGGGUGAUCUUGACUACUGCGGAACCCACAGUCUUCAGGGACUUGUUCAUGGUCUCUGUUGAAUAGUGUCGACAGAGUCUAGAGUUGUAACACAUGGAAAGUAAUGUUGUCAGAGCUUCUGGAAGUCAUCCGCCAGUCCCCAGCGCAAGGGACGAUGAUUUUCAAGAGGCUGGGACUUCAGAGGAUGCAAGUGCUUCAAAGGGACGUGAACGAAGACUACUGGUGCACGGUCCGAUAAAGUUAAGAACGGGUAAUAAGAAAACAAAGCAUCAGGCUUUUUUGUACAAGGACGUACUGAAAAUCUCGAACAUUCGGUACAGCAAAAAUAUUUACUACAAAUAUGUCAUCCCUGUCAAUGAAAUAUGGAUUUCCAAAUGCAUUGUUGAGGAAGGUGAUACCAGUGCCUCCAGGUGCCUGAAUAUUGGCUGGCCCAUGGCGAAUUAUAGGGCCAAGUUCUUUUCGAAGACAUUUAUGGAAAAAUGGGAACGUCUGCUGGACAGGUGUAUAACUGAGUCGAAAGAGAAAGAUCAAAAGCAGACGACAGUUCUACAGAUAGAGUCAGAUACCGUUAGCAACGUUCCUUAU